rnacentral:rRNA from 1 species
UGAGUACAGUAGAGGUGGGCGGAAUUCGUGGUGUAGCGGUGAAAUGCUUAGAUAUCACGAAGAACUCCGAUUGCGAAGGCAGCUCACUGGACUGCAACUGACACUGAUGCUCGAAAGUGUGGGUAUCAAACAGGAUUAGAUACCCUGGUAGUCCACACAGUAAACGAUGAAUACUCGCUGUUUGCGAUAUACAGUAAGCGGCCAAGCGAAAGCAUUAAGUAUUCCACCUGGGGAGUACGCCGGCAACGGUGAAACUCAAAGGAAUUGACGGGGGCCCGCACAAGCGGAGGAACAUGUGGUUUAAUUCGAUGAUACGCGAGGAACCUUACCCGGGCUUAAAUUGCAGUGGAAUGAUGUGGAAACAUGUCAGUGAGCAAUCACCGCUGUGAAGGUGCUGCAUGGUUGUCGUCAGCUCGUGCCGUGAGGUGUCGGCUUAAGUGCCAUAACGAGCGCAACCCUUAUCUUCAGUUACUAACAGGUCAUGCUGAGGACUCUGGAGAGACUGCCGUCGUAAGAUGUGAGGAAGGUGGGGAUGACGUCAAAUCAGCACGGCCCUUACGUCCGGGGCUACACACGUGUUACAAUGGGGGGUACAGAAGGCAGCUAGCGGGUGACCGUAUGCUAAUCCCAAAAUCCUCUCUCAGUUCGGAUCGAAGUCUGCAACCCGACUUCGUGAAGCUGGAUUCGCUAGUAAUCGCGCAUCAGCCACGGCGCGGUGAAUACGUUCNNNNNNCUUGUACACACCGCCCGUCAAGCCAUGGGAGCCGNNNNNNNNNGAAGUACGUAGCCGCAAGGAUCGUCCUAGGGUAAAACUGGUGACUGGGGAUGGGUCGUAACAAGGUAACCA